CGGACGGGUGAGUAACGCGUGGAAAACCUGCCGUAUACUGGGGGAUAACACUUAGAAAUAGGUGCUAAUACCGCAUAAGCGCACAGCUUCGCAUGAAGUGGUGUGAAAAACUCUGGUGGUAUACGAUGGUUCCGCGUCUGAUUAGCUUGUUGGUGGGGUAAUGGCUCACCAAGGCGACGAUCAGUAGCCGGCCUGAGAGGGUGAACGGCCACAUUGGGACUGAGACACGGCCCAAACUCCUACGGAAGGCAGCAG
rnacentral:rRNA from 1 species